rnacentral:misc_RNA from 1 species
AAGUCGUAACAAGGUUUCCGUAGGUGAACCUGCGGAAGGAUCAUUAACACGUUAUCCACGUAUCAUCAUGAGAACCGUUAAACUCCCUCGACGAGGAAUGAACAGCAGCAAGAUAGAGUAGUUGGUUGAGGCUAGCGCCCUAGAUGCGCGGCAGGCUCUAUUUGUUAUUUAGGCUUGACGGGUCUGGGUUUUUACCCAGGUCCCGAGUGUCUCUACUGUUGAAUCUAAGUUCGAGGCUACUCUCUGCGCACAGCUCUCCUUCCACGAGAUGGGCAACGAGAAACUUAUUCACAAUUUUAACCCCUUUUUGCUAGUUGACUUUUAUAUGUUGUGCUUCGCUUCGGUGAGGCUCACACGUUUAAUUACUUGAACGUUAAAAAUACAACUCUUAGCAAUGGAUAUCUAGGUUCUC